UUCUUAUUGGAUGAUGACUGUCAUGUGUCAUGUUGUGAUUGGAUGUCAACUCUAUGAAAGAUAAAAUAAAUUGUUGUUUUUAUUGACCAAUCAUAACAUGACACGUAGCAGUCAUCAUCC
rfam:Glycine max cultivar Williams 82 chromosome 20, whole genome shotgun sequence.